rnacentral:rRNA from 1 species
UACGUAGGGUGCAAGCGUUGUCCGGAAUCAUUGGGCGUAAAGCGCGCGUAGGCGGCCCGAUAAGUCCGCUGUAAAAGUCAACGGCUCAACUGUUGAAAGCCGGUGGAUACUGUCGGGCUAGAGUACGGAAGAGGCAAGUGGAAUUCCUGGUGUAGCGGUGGAAUGCGCAGAUAUCGUAAGGAAGGCCGGUGGCGAAAGCGAGCCUCUGGACAGUUACUGACGCUGAUGCACGAAGGCCAGGGGAGCAAACGGG